rnacentral:rRNA from 1 species
AUUGAACGCUGGCGGCAGGCCUAACACAUGCAAGUCGAACGAGUGGCGGACGGGUGAGUAAUGUCUGGGAAACUGCCUGAUGGAGGGGGAUAACUACUGGAAACGGUAGCUAAUACCGCAUACCAUCGGAUGUGCCCCGAUGGGAUUAGCUAGUAGGGGGGGUAAAGGCUCACCUAGGCGACGAUCCCUAGCUGGUCUGAGAGGAUGGUCAGUCACACUGGAACUGAGACACUGUCCAGACUCCUACGGGAGGCAGCAGUGGGGAAUAUUGGGCAAUGGGCGAAAGCCUGGUACAGUCAUGCCGCGUGUGUGAAGAAGGUCUUCGGAGUGUAAAGCACUUUAAGUUGGGAGGCGUUACCAGCAGAAUAAGCACCGGCUAACUUCGUGCCAGCAGCCGCGGUAAUUC